UAAACGACGUGACUGACGAAUUGACCUAUUCUGUGAGAGGGAAAUGAUAUAGGAGAAUCGACAAUUCUUCAGCAUUUUUUACGAGUGUCUUAUGGUUGCCUUAUGAAAUAGUUCGUUAUGUCCCUUGUUUGCCAACAGAAGAGCGAAGUAAAUGGUUUGCGGUCAAGUCUGGUGGCGUGAACUCAGUUAUAAUUUCCUUUUGAUGGAAGGUUUAUACCAAAAGGUUCGAGAUCCAAUUCCACCGACGAGCCGUCGUGUAAGCGGGUCUGGUGCACUUUAAAUCCAUCGGGAACAAAUAUCCUCCCGCUGGUGUGGUGUGGAAUUUUGGAAAAGGGGAAUGCCAGCUCAGGUGCCGUGCUCGUCAUCUGACAGUGGCUCUAAAUUACAAGGAAAAAAGAUUUUAUGAAAUUAGAACGACUUCUGAGUUUCAUAGUUUUGAUCGACCAGCCGAAAUUUCUAUAAAAAAAAAGAACUUUAUAUUGAAGUUCCAGCCAAAAGAAACCUUCGCAUAAUUCUUGCCCAAAUAGCCCAAACAUGAACAAGAAUUGGUCCAUGGCAAUAAACAAUAUUGAUUUGUUUCUCCGUCAUUCAGUUGGAUGUGUUUUGAAUGCUACUAGAAAAAGAAAUCUUUGUGAUGUCGUGAUCUUGUCAACAUAACUGAUACGAGGAGAAGAAACACAUUGUUCACGCAUGAAAACAGAUUUCGUUUGUUUUCCGAUUCAAGGCGCCAAUCCAUCAAGUGUUAUUCCAAAACAGCCACUUCUAUCAACAACAUAGAAGUUGAUCAAUACCGUGGUAAUGUUGCGGCCUAGGCACGCACAUUUACGUCUUAGGAAAGGGCAUAACGGAUACAAAAACUUAUAACCAGGAUAUUAUAGUACUUUAAAUAAUCAAUUUUCAUCGUAUUGAUUGAAACUGUUUCAUCAUAGUGCAUAAUAAUACUCGUUAUUAUAGUGUUUUGACAAACGUCUUGAAAAUGAAGCGAUUCUUCGAAACGCAUGGCCUUCGAAGAAUACCUUCUAUUUAUAGAAUUUAUUCCCAUAGAUCACAUAAAGAUGCUCUUGAGCGAGGCAUAGUAGAGAACAAUUUUUCAUCAUUUAGAGAAAAAAAACAUCUGCUUUAUUAAGAAGUAGCAGAAUUUGCCACAAUUUUGACUAGACAAUCUGUUUAAGAGAUGUGCAACUGAUUCUGUAUACGUUAUAAAGGAAAAUGGACAUACACUUAUCUUAAACCUUAUGAAAUAAGUUAUAAGCUAAUUAUUGGACUAUUUCUGCAAAUACAAUGAAUUGAUAUUCUUUCC